ACAAGUUGUCUGAAAGGUGAAAGUCUGUAUAAGUGUAACUAUUACAACUUAUUUUGUUUAUUUUUUUGUUAAUCUAAAACUCGUUGUGACAGGUGUCUAUGAUUUUCAAAGUUAUAGGGUUGCAAAUCGACAUAGCAUUGGAUGAAAUGGUCCACCAUGCUGCUUGCCUUGCAGUCAUGAGACUGGCUGAAAUAUAAAGUAUGUGAGUUCAGCCUUUUUAUUGAGACUGACUACAAUUUUAAAAUAGUACUCCAGAGUCCAAAUCUGGUGAACGAUUUCAGCCAGUAUUUUCAACUCACACAAAAUACCUUUACUAGAAUCAUCAGACAUUCAAAAUCAAUUCGGAUUUUAUAGGGAGUUAGGAGAGUUGCCGUGUCCUUUACACUUGCGUGCAGAGCUUCGCGCCCCUUGGAAUAAUGAAAUCCUAUACUUAUUCGGUCCACUGCAUAUUUAGACUAGUUGAAAUUUCGAUUAAGCCUCAGUCUCCGUGAAAUUCGUCGAGUCAUAAAUAAUUGAAAUGCAAAUCAAAUAUAUUUCAAUUGAGGAGCCGAAGAAACCUAGAUCCAAUUUAAAAGAGCCUAUACAAACAGUUCGGCGCUCUUCACAAGAAGUAUAAGCACAAAGCCACAAAGUUGUUGGAAUAGGUCAUCUAAUUACGCAGGGCCGAAUGGCCGAAACUAAUUCCAUUCGACCAAAUGAUUGAACAGCAUCUCCUAUCUGAU